rnacentral:rRNA from 1 species
UACGUAGGGUGCGAGCGUUAAUCGGAAUUACUGGGCGUAAAGCGUGCGCAGGCGGCUUUGCAAGACAGAUGUGAAAUCCCCGGGCUCAACCUGGGAACUGCAUUUGUGACUGCAAGGCUAGAGUACGGCAGAGGGGGAUGGAAUUCCGCGUGUAGCAGUGAAAUGCGUAGAUAUGCGGAGGAACACCGAUGGCGAAGGCAGUCCCCUGGGCCUGUACUGACGCUCAUGCACGAAAGCGUGGGGAGCAAACAGG